UACAGAGGUCUCAAGCGUUGUUCGGAUUCAUUGGGCGUAAAGGGUGCGUAGGUGGCUCCGUAAGUCAGGUGUGAAAUCUCGGGGCUUAACUCCGAAACUGCAUUUGAUACUGCGGUGCUUGAGGACUGGAGAGGAGACUGGAAUUUACGGUGUAGCAGUGAAAUGCGUAGAGAUCGUAAGGAAGACCAGUGGCGAAGGCGGGUCUCUGGACAGUACCUGACACUGAGGCACGAAGGCCAGGGGAGCAAACGGG
rnacentral:rRNA from 1 species